rnacentral:rRNA from 1 species
UACGUAGGGUCCGAGCGUUGUCCGGAAUUACUGGGCGUAAAGAGCUCGUAGGGGGUUUGUCGCGUUGUUCGUGAAAACUCACAGCUUAACUGUGGGCGUGCGGGCGAUACGGGCAGACUGGAGUACUGCAGGGGAGACUGGAAUUCCUGGUGUAGCGGUGGAAUGCGCAGAUAUCAGGAGGAACACCGGUGGCGAAGGCGGGUCUCUGGGCAGUAACUGACGCUGAGGAGCGAAAGCGUGGGGAGCAAACAGG